AUUGAACGCUGGCGGCAGGCCUAACACAUGCAAGUCGAGCGGAUGAAGGGAGCUUGCUCCUGGAUUCAGCGGCGGACGAGUGAGUAAUGCCUAGGAAUCUGCCUGGUAGUGGAGGAUAACGUCCGGAAACGGGCGCUAAUACCGCAUACGUCCUGAGGGAGAAAGUGGGGGAUCUUCGGACCUCACGCUAUCAGAUGAGCCUAGGUCGGAUUAGCUAGUUGGUGGGGUAAAGGCCUACCAAGGCGACGAUCCGUAACUGGUCUGAGAGGAUGAUCAGUCACACUGGAACUGAGACACGGUCCAGACUCCUACGGGAGGCAGCAGUGGGGAAUAUUGGACAAUGGGCGAAAGCCUGAUCCAGCCAUGCCGCGUGUGUGAAGAAGGUCUUCGGAUUGUAAAGCACUUUAAGUUGGGAGGAAGGGCAGUAAGUUAAUACCUUGCUGUUUUGACGUUACCAACAGAAUAAGCACCGGCUAACUUCGUG
rnacentral:rRNA from 1 species